AAGUUGGCACAUGUGUAGAGGAAAAACCCAAACCCAACCCAAGACCAUGUCAUCACACUCCACCCAAGCCACUCCACAAUCUCCCCAAAGUAGUUGGCACAGCUCACCAGCUCAAAACAUCCUCCUCUUGGCACCUUGUACCCGCCACCCUCUCUCCUUAAGCCUACCAAAACCCUAUCAGACCAUAUAUUAAUCCACAUACCCCACAAAAAUACCAAUAGCCCACCCAAAAGCUUCCACCAGAACCACCCAUCGUUGUGAUAACUCUCCUUGUAGUGAGACACCCACCUGGCUUGCAAGUAAGCAUUCAAUAAGUUAAACCCAAAACCCAUCAGGGCCACACUCACCGGAAAACCACUAGCUGUUUUGGUGUUCCGCUGAGUAUUACUCAGGCGAAGAGGGUAGAUACAGGUACGGUGGAAAUAGUGGAUGAGAAAAGGAGACAUAAGAAUCAGUGCUUUGGAAUUGGUGGCAUGCUGACCAAAGGGAAAGAGUAGAAGGGUGAGCCAGAGAGUGGGGCUCUCCAUGAGGAACCAAGCAAAGGGAGGGGAGAGAGUUGGACCCCAGCCAGGGCGGUUAUGCUUGCCAUAUGGGGCUUGGAGGAACCUCAAGGAGAUGAAGGUAGGGGGUCCUAUGAGGUAGAAAGUAAGGAGGGUGUAAUGAAAGAGGCUCUGAUCUGAAAAAGCCAUUGCUUUUCUGCUUAAAAAGGGCCUAAAGAAUCAAAGAGGGAUGCGCUAUAAAAAGGGUAUCUGCUGGAAUUUAGAAAUUUAUCGUGAUUGCUAAUGGGUUGCAGAAGUGGCAACAUAAUAAUUGCAGCGGGAAACUGUUUGCAUUCACUGAUGCCAGGUGGAUGUGAAUGAUCCGUUUGAAAAUUACCCAUUCCCAUGCUUGCAAUUGCAAAUCUUUUGUUGGGUGAUUGGAUCUUGGGUGUAAUUAUCGGAUCUGAUGAAUGAAAAAUUCACUUUUAUGGAAAAACAAUAAAUAAUAUAGUAGUAAAGGAACAGUUGCAAAGCGCUAGCUAAAAAAA
rnacentral:misc_RNA from 1 species